CAGCAUCUCAAGUGGUCAGGAUGAUUAUUGGGCCUAAAGCAUCCGUAGCCGGCUCUGUAAGUUUUCGGUUAAAUCUGUACGCUCAACGUACAGGCUGCCGGGAAUACUGCAGAGCUAGGGAGUGGGAGAGGUAGACGGUACUCGGUAGGAAGGGGUAAAAUCCUUUGAUCUAUUGAUGACCACCUGUGGCGAAGGCGGUCUACCAGAACACGUCCGACGGUGAGGGAUGAAAGCUGGGGGAGCAAACCGGAUUAGAUACCCGAGUAGUCC
rnacentral:rRNA from 1 species